GAUGAACGCUGGCGGCGUGCCUAAUACAUGCAAGUCGAGCGAACAGACGAGGAGCUUGCUCCUUCGACGUUAGCGGCGGACGGGUGAGUAACACGUGGAUAACCUACCUAUAAGACUGGGAUAACUUCGGGAAACCGGAGCUAAUACCGGAUAAUAUUUUGAACCGCAUGGUUCGAUAGUGAAAGACGGCUUUGCUGUCACUUAUAGAUGGAUCUGCGCCGUAUUAGCUAGUUGGUAAGGUAACGGCUUACCAAGGCAACGAUGCGUAGCCGACCUGAGAGGGUGAUCGGCCACACUGGAACUGAGACACGGUCCAGACUCCUACGGGAGGCAGCAGUAGGGAAUCUUCCGCAAUGGGCGAAAGCCUGACGGAGCAACGCCGCGUGAGUGAUGAAGGUCUUCGGAUCGUAAAACUCUGUUAUUAGGGAAGAACAAAUGUGUAAGUAACUGUGCACGUCUUGACGGUACCUAAUCAGAAAGCCACGGCUAACUACGUG
rnacentral:rRNA from 1 species